rnacentral:rRNA from 1 species
GACGAACGCUGGCGGCGUGCCUAAUACAUGCAAGUAGAACGCUGAAGGAGGAGCUUGCUCCUCUGGAUGAGUUGCGAACGGGUGAGUAACGCGUAGGUAACCUGCCUGGUAGCGGGGGAUAACUAUUGGAAACGAUAGCUAAUACCGCAUAACAGUAGAUAUCGCAUGAUAUCUACUUGAAAGGUGCAAUUGCAUCACUACCAGAUGGACCUGCGUUGUAUUAGCUAGUUGGUGAGGUAACGGCUCACCAAGGCGACGAUACAUAGCCGACCUGAGAGGGUGAUCGGCCACACUGGGACUGAGACACGGCCCAGACUCCUACGGGAGGCAGCAGUAGGGAAUCUUCGGCAAUGGACGGAAGUCUGACCGAGCAACGCCGCGUGAGUGAAGAAGGGUUUCGGAUCGUAAAGCUCUGUUGUAAGAGAAGAACGAGUGUGAGAGUGGAAAGUUCACACUGUGACGGUAGCUUACCAGAAAGGGACGGCUAACUACGUG